CAGCAGCCACGGUAAAACGGAGGGGGCUAGCGUUGUUCGGAAUUACUGGGCGUAAAGCGCACGUAGGCGGCUUGGUAAGUUAGAGGUGAAAGCCCGGAGCUCAACUCCGGAAUUGCCUUUAAGACUGCCGAGCUAGCAGGUGAGAGAGGUAAGUGGAAUUCCGAGUGUAGAGGUGAAAUUCGUAGAUAUUCGGAAGAACACCAGUGGCGAAGGCGGCUUACUGGCUCAUACUGGACGCUGAGGUGCGAAAGCGUGGGGAGCAAACAGGAUUAGAGACCCCCGUAGUCCCUGUCUCUUAUAC
rnacentral:rRNA from 1 species